CGUCGACGGCCUUGGACUGUCGC
rnacentral:rRNA from 1 species